CGCAACGCGAAGAACCUUACCAAGGCUUGACAUAUAGCGAAAAGUGGCAGAGAUGUCAUGUCCGCAAGGGCGCUAUACAGGUGGUGCAUGGUUGUCGUCAGCUCGUGUCGUGAGAUGUUGGGUUAAGUCCCGCAACGAGCGCAACCCUCGUUCUGUGUUACCAGCAUUCAGUUGGGGACUCACAGGAGACUGCCGGGGUCAACUCGGAGGAAGGUGGGGAUGACGUCAAAUCAUCAUGCCCCUCAUGCCUUGGGCUGCACGCAUGCUACAAUGGCCGGUACAAAGUGCUGCGAGAUCGCAAGAUUGAGCGAAUCACAUAAAGCCGGUCUCAGUUCGGAUUGAGGUCUGCAACUCGACCUCAUGAAGUCGGAGUUGCUAGUAAUCGUAGAUCAGCAACGCUA
rnacentral:rRNA from 1 species